CACUGCAUGUUGGUUUCAGUUGUAGUGAUCGUAAUUCGUCGCCACUGCCGCUUGAGGUGGCUGCCGGGCUGCCGCUGAACCGGUUCGGAGACCGCCACUGUUUCGGUUCAGCCAUUCCUUCUUUGGUUCGAGUUGUUGAGAUUGUUGCGAAAAUGGCUUGGAACCGAGGUUUUGGCUACCGGGAUUUUGAUUGUUGAUUUCGGGUCGAGGCGGAAAGGAUUCUGUGACGCGUUUGGGCUAUGGUUUUGCGUUUUGAGGAUAUGGGCGCAGAAGUUACGAAGAGCUUAUUUAAUUGUUGUUGUGAUGCUCUGUAU